CUGAGCGAAAAUGCUGUGGUCAUGCUCAUGGAUCCUCAACUUCCCAGAGCCCUUUGGCCAGUUGGACGAGUGACUAAAGUUCACCCCAGCGCUGACGGCCACAUCAGGUCAGCAGAUGUUCGAGUUAAAGAUCGAGUUUAUACUCGACCGGUAGCGAGGAUGAUUGUUCUUCCGGCAACACCCGAAGAGGCCGGCGGCCAUGAUUCAUCAUCAAAGACUUAGUUCAUCGCCUUUGUUUGAAACAAAUGUACUUCAUACAUUUGGGGGCGGCUGUUACAAAGGCUCUAGUGUUUAUUACUUUAGUUUGGGAAGGGGAGGUGCGCCACCCGGUGGCGAGUUCGAAUAGUACAUGCAGCAGCUGCAGAAGCACUGUAGCUCUGAGGGAGGAGACGUGCAGCUGCUGCUGACGGCUCCGGUUGGGGUCUAUGUGCGUUCCUGACUGAAUACCACACACACAUACCCAAUCGUACCAAUACCCUACCUACCUCUCCAUCUCCAAGCCUACCUCAUACUGCAUGUUUGUAUUGCUGCUGAACUGCAAUUAAAGAGAGACUCAAACCAGAAAA